AGUGAACGCUGGCGGUAGGUCUAACACAUGCAAGUCGAACGGCAACACAGUAAGAGCUUGCUCUUACGGGUGGCGAGUGGCGGACGGGUGAGGAAUACAUCGGAAUCUACUUUUUCGUGGGGGAUAACGUAGGGAAACUUACGCUAAUACCGCAUACGACCUACGGGUGAAAGCAGGGGAUCUUCGGACCUUGCGCGAUUGAAUGAGCCGAUGUCGGAUUAGCUAGUUGGCGGGGUAAAGGCCCACCAAGGCGACGAUCCGUAGCUGGUCUGAGAGGAUGAUGAGCCACACUGGAACUGAGACACGGUCCAGACUCCUACGGGAGGCAGCAGUGGGGAAUAUUGGACAAUGGGCGCAAGCCUGAUCCAGCCAUACCGCGCGGGUGAAGAAGGCCUUCGGGUUGUAAAGCCCUUUUGUUGGGAAAGAAAAGCAGCAGGUUAAUACCCCGCUGUUCUGACGGUACCCAAAGAAUAAGCACCGGCUAACUUCGUG
rnacentral:rRNA from 1 species